rnacentral:rRNA from 1 species
AUGGUUCAAAGGCCAGGAAAUACAUCGAAUCAAUCUACAUUUAUGGCUGUGAUUACAAUAAUAUCACGCACACAAAAUAGAAGAUCACAAGGAAUUGUACAAGUAUUGAGGUUUCUCACUGGUGGUUACAGGAGUAGUUUUGUAAAUUUAGAACCUGCGAUGUACGCUGGAGUAAAUCUCACUGUGAGAUACGUACGAGGAAGCUAUCUUCUACGUGAUGUACUUGGAUUACAACAAAUUAAUGGUGACCUUCUUCUUUCAGGGAAGAUCAAUGGUGAGAUUAUAUAUCUCUGUGACUCUACAAACAUGUAUCCACCAUAA